rnacentral:tRNA from 1 species
GCCGAGGUGGUGAAAUUGGUAGACACGCUAGUCUUAGGAACUAGUACCGUAAGGUGUGCGAGUUCGAGUCUCGCCCUCGGCACCA